rnacentral:rRNA from 1 species
UCUGGUGCCAAUGGCAAAGAGGUCACACUUGUCGCCAUGCCGAACACAGAAGUUAAGCUCUUUAGUGCCGUUGGUAGUCGUACUUACGUUCCUCUAGAUUAGGACGGUUCCAUGU